rnacentral:rRNA from 1 species
AGGACGAACGCUGGCGGCGUGCCUAACACAUGCAAGUCGAACGCGCUCCAUUCGGUAGCAAUACUGAUGAAGAGCGAGUGGCGAACGGGUGAGUAGCACGUGAGCAACCUGCCCCGAAGACCGGGACAACACCGGGAAACCGGUGCUAAUACCGGAUAUCCCUAUCGGACCGCAUGAUCUGAUAAGGAAAUGGAUUCCGCUUCGGGAGGGGCUCGCGGCCUAUCAGCUAGUUGGUGAGGUAACGGCCCACCAAGGCAUCGACGGGUAGCUGGUCUGAGAGGACGAUCAGCCACACUGGGACUGAGACACGGCCCAGACUCCUACGGGAGCAGCAGUGGGGAAUCUUGCGCAAUGGGCGAAAGCCUGACGCAGCAACGCCGCGUGGAGGACGAAGGCUUUCUGAGUUGUAAACUCCUUUCAGCAGGGACGAUAGUGACGGUACCUGCAGAAGAAGCACCGGCAACUACGUGCCAGCCAGCCG